rnacentral:rRNA from 1 species
CCUACGGGUGGCAGCAGUGGGGAAUAUUGCACAAUGGGCGCAAGCCUGAUGCAGCCAUGCCGCGUGUGUGAAGAAGGCCUUCGGGUUGUAAAGCACUUUCAGCGGGGAGGAAGGCGGUGAGGUUAAUAACCUCCUCGAUUGACGUUACCCGCAGAAGAAGCACCGGCUAACUCCGUGCCAGCAGCCGCGGUAAUACGGAGGGUGCAAGCGUUAAUCGGAAUUACUGGGCGUAAAGCGCACGUAGGCGGUCUGUCAAGUCGGAUGUGAAAUCCCCGGGCUCAACCUGGGAACUGCAUUCGAAACUGGCAGGCUAGAGUCUGGUAGAGGGGGGUAGAAUUCCAGGUGUAGCGGUGAAAUGCGUAGAGAUCUGGAGGAAUACCGGUGGCGAAGGCGGCCCCCUGGACAAAGACUGACGCUCAGGUGCGAAAGCGUGGGGAGCAAACAGGAUUAGAUACCCUAGUAGUC